GGUUGUGAUGCAGAGGAGGUAACUAGAAGCAAUAUGUAACACAUGCAUUGGGUCCAAUGACAUAUGUAUUUCUCUUUUCCCAAAUUUUUUUCAUUUGUAAUGUUUUUUUCUCUCUCUUCUCUCCCUCUCUCUCUCGUACGCUCUCUCUUUUCUCACCAUCACUUUCAUCUCUCCUCCCUGCCUCAUCUCCUCCUCCACCACCGCAUCCACCACAACCUCCACCACCACCUACAAAUCGAUCUCCGAAUCAGAACGUCCUCUCCGCUUCCGGUGAUGCCGCCGUCAUCAGACUCACGUUAUUCUUCCUCUCAGGUUCCUCGUGUCAAUUUGCUCAUAAACUUUGUAGAAAUCAUAACUCUUAUUGCUGCAGCUGCAACAGGUACUUUGUUAAUCUUUCUAUGAACUGACAAUAUCUAUAGUUUGGUUAUUUCUGAUCUUUGGUUAAUACUAUUGAUUUUUAUGGUUUUGUUUUAUGAUUUCUACAAAGAUCCAGUUCUGCCAUUGAUUUCCCUAUAUGGGUUUUCAAACUCACAAGUGAUUUUGUGGUAUAAUAGAAAUUGGGAAUUGGAAGAAGUAUGUGAAACCCGUAUUCUGGACAGGGGCUCACUAAAACGGUAACUGCUCUUUCUCUAUAACUCCGAAUUUAGUGUGGUUUGUCUCUAUGGUUAGCUAACGAAAUUCCGGUCGUUCCGACGCCAAUAUUAUGAAUUAUGGAGCUGUAAUGAAUCCUGCAGACGCGUUUGAAGUUCAGGGUCAGGUGCAGAAUUUUGGGUUUGAGGUUAGCAUCAUGAUCAUCAUCUUGAGCUACUGGGAAUUCUAUGGAGUAGCUCAUUUCUUAAAGUUUCUGAGUUAAUCUCAUUCAGGUGGGUUCCUUUAGGAAAAACUCACUUUAAUAGAGUAGCUUUAAUAGUUUUCCCCAAAUUCAAUUAUGCAUGUUAACUUAGGGAUUUAGGAUUAAUUAGGAAAACUCUUGAAUUGAAUUAAUUAAUGACUUAAACAAUACAUAAGCUAAAUUGAACUCUGCAAUAUUUUGGAUUAUUUUGUAGUUUUUUUUUUGUUUGUAGGUUUUGAUAUGUGAUUUCUUAAAUCCAUCAUGGGACAAGAGUGAGUAACAUGAAAUUUGAGUUAAUUCUGGACAGGGGCUCACUAAAACGGUAACUGCUCUUUCUCUAUAACUCCGAAUUUAGUGUGGUUUGUCUCUAUGGUUAGCUAACGAAAUUCUGGUCGUUCCGACACCAAUAUUAUGAAUUAUGGAGCUGUAAUGAAUCCUGCAGACGCGUUUGAAGUUCAGGGUCAGGUGCAGAAUUUUGGGUUUGAGGUUAGCAUCAUGAUCAUCAUCUUGAGCUACUGGGAAUUCUAUGGAGUAGCUCAUUUCUUAAAGUUUCUGAGUUAAUCUCAUUCAGGUGGGUUCCUUUAGGAAAAACUCACUUUAAUAGAGUAGCUUUAAUAGUUUUCCCCAAAUUCAAUUAUGCAUGUUAACUUAGGGAUUUAGGAUUAAUUAGGAAAACUCUUGAAUUGAAUUAAUUAAUGACUUAAACAAUACAUAAGCUAAAUUGAACUCUGCAAUAUUUUGGAUUAUUUUGUAGUUUUUUUUUUUUGUGUGUAGGUUUUGAUAUGUGAUUUCUUGAAUCCAUCAUGGGACAAGAGUAACAUGAAAUUUGAUUUGAGGGUAGUUUUGAUUCAGUUUCAAAAUGGUGGUGAUGUGAAAUGUGGUUCUCUGUUAUUUUAUAUGAUUUGGUAUUUAAGUUUGUUUGCUCUUUUAGAUGUAACCUUUCUAUAAGUGAGAUGGAGAGGAACUGGAUUGGUGGUCCAACAAUGAUACAAUGUCAUGUUUUUCACAUUUUAACCCUUUUUUCUUUCCUUUCCUGGCAGGUUGCUCCAAGGGAUUAAUUUGAUUCUUUAGUUACCUGCUACAAUGGUUUAGUUUGAGCACUUACAAGUAAUUAAUUUUUUUGGAUUGUGUCCCUUUUAAAAUUUCUUUUCUACAUAGCGUGCUAUUGAAUUGUUUGAUCUAUUGAUUGAUUCUAUGGCGUAUGGUAAGGCUGCUAUAAAAUGAUAUGGAAGUGUUACUUAUGAAGGAGAGUAAUCUCCCAGUGUGAUAAUGAAGGUACUACUAAUUUAGUUUACCAUUGAGGCUUAUCUUUUUAUUUUUAUUUUUUUUAUAAUGUGCUUAGUGAUUUAGCUAUGAAGUGAGAAUAUUAAAAUAAUAUUGAUUUUGAGUUUGCAUACUUAUGUCAUGCAUUUUUAAUUUGCUUGGACAGUUUGCAUGCUCUGAAUGUUCCAUGAUUCAAAUCUUUGCAUAAGCACUAUCCAGACAUCAAGUGGCAUGAUUGUAGAUGCAAAAUUCAGAAAAGCAUGCACCUUGUGAUGCUAACUCCUCUUUAAACUCUUUAUUCUAAUUGUGUUUUAUGUUGCUACAAGCACUUAAUAGGCCUAAGCUUCUCUUCACAUUUCUUUGGACUCUUUUAUGCUGCUAUCAUGUGCUUCAUUGUUUAUAACUUCAUUUUGCAUUGUGAUGUUAAUUUGAGACACGGUCAUAUUUUCUUCGAUACAGGGUAAAAAGGCUACUGCUUUUCCUGCCAUGUGCAGCAAGUUAUCAGAUCAGAGUGAAGUAGAAAACAGGGUUGUUGUUGAUGGGACACUAUGCACUAUUUCAUAUCGUUUGAGAUGCCUCGGAACCUCCAUUGAGUUUGCAUUAGUUAUUGUGCAGAAGCUGUUUGGACGCAAUUUAGCUCUAGAACUUGCAAAGACAACAGUGUUCACAAGCCCAUAAUGUAUUUAAAUGAAUAAUACUUUCCUCCUAAUGUAUCAGACAUUUGUGUAUGAUUAUGAAUAACCAAGUAUUUGAAUGAGUUGUAAGUUACUUUCAAUAGCCCAAUUUGCGAUAACUUAAUUUGUAUUUGGAUCCUUUGCAGUCAGAAUUUCGUCGCAGUCAGUCUAUCUAAGCUAUUGAUAGAUAUCAAGUGGUUCGUGGCAUGACUUUGACCGAUCAGAAACUAAAGAUGGAUGUCAAAAUAUACGAUGCUGCAAGAUCCAAAACCAAAACCAGAUUCAAGUAUCUGUUGAAAAGAAAAAUAGGAAAGAUAUAUUUCAAAGAUGGAUGGUAUGAUGGGGGCUUGAAGAAGGUUUUUUUAGUUGGCUAUCUGGUGUGUAUCCUUAUAUGCAGGGAACAAUUUUAGUACUUAACGAUAUACUGGGUUGGGUUUUAAAAAAUAUAUAUAGCUCCAAUCUAAAUUGAAUAUAACAUUAUUUUUGUUAUGUUUUAUUACUGUCUCAGUUGCGGCCUGAUUUAGAUUUGUACGACAUUGUUUGUUUGUGAAGUAAGAGGAGAGUUCCCUACUAAAAGAAAGAAUAGUUUUAGGGAAGAUAAUUUUCUAAUCUAUUUUUCUUACUCAAUAAUUUUUUGAUCUUGGUGUAUAUAUUUUAGGCAUAUGUUUGAGAUGGCAUGCUUGGCUAUUAACAUGUUGAUAUUGUUUUGCAGGAGAUAGCAACCAAAAGUGCAAAUUUUGAGGUAACGAUUAAUACAAAUGAGAGUUUGAAGAGGAUAAAGGCAAGGGGCAGGCUGAGGAAGGAGUGAAGGCAGUGAGAAAAAUAGGAAGAUAAGUAAGGUUAUGGAUGCAACCCUUGAAGAUUUAGAAGGUAAUAGGGUGCAUUGCACUUUGUGGGAUGAUUUUGCUCUAAAUAUGCAGAAAUUCUUGGAUAUACUCAUGAUUCAUCCCUACCUAUGGUAAUCAUAAUACAACUAUGCAAGCUUAAGAAGUACCUUGGUAGGAAAAUACUUCCUUUUCACCUAUUGUUUGAAAUAUAGCUCUGGUGGUUUAUUUUUUUGUUUCCAUUUGAGUAUGUGCUAUGUAAAUUUCAAAUUCUUUUUAUGGAUCAGAAUUGUUGUUGAAUGCUCAGAUUCCUGAAGUAUCUAAUUAUAUAGAAACCUAGAAAGUUGAGUCAAGUGGUUAAUCAAAUGAUCGGACCAGUGAUGCAUAGUGUCGUCGAUGAUUUGCUGUAGACCCCAAAGAUGACUAUUGAGGAUCUCAUUGAAUCUACCGAGAUAAAUUUGGAACCCAUGUUGGUGAAUCAUAAUUGCUACUUUGUAGGGGAGGGGGGAUAGGUAUUUAUGGUUAUUACUAUUUUAUAGGGAUGACUACAUCAUCAUUGCUACUUUUUAGGAAGUCUUGAGUAUCCAACCCUGUAUUUUUGCAUAACUCCUUCACUAGUCCACGCAUAUUUUCUCAUUGAUCAAAUACACCACUCUUCUAAUUUUCUUUUCUAUUCAUCUCCUCUGUGUUUUGUCUAUCCUAUCUCAAUACCAUCUUCGUCUAACCCUUCAUUUCCCAUAUGGCAUCCUAUCUCACAUAAUUAAAUGACUGUUAUAAAACCCAAUCCAGGAAAGAAAGAAAAAAAGUCGGACUCUUAUCUUUCUUGCUUUAGAUGGCUGGCUUUGGAAACAGAGAUAUGACAUGCUUUGUUGUAAUUUUGAAUGCUUUAAUAUACAUUACUUAAUUGCUUCAAUCUUUGCUUAUGAUACUAAGUAAAAAAAAGUUCUCAACAACUUAAAUUAGGGAUAAGUAUGAAGUUUUGAACUUGGAGAGAUUGAUAUGUUUCAACCAAUGUGCAGUCCAAGAUCUCAUAUCUCACAAUGCGUUCGAUCUUUAUUAGAUUGCAAACUCUGUGAAUGUUGGUGGCUCAAAUUAUGUUGAAAGAUUCCUACUUUAAUAGGUUGGCUCAAAUUUUUAGUGGAUGGAGAUAUUAUGAAGAUGAAAUUAGUUGUCAUCCAAGCAUAGACUUUGCAGCAAAGAAAGUAACUGUUGUUGGAGAUGUGACUCAAUUGAGUGUAAUGGCAAGCAUAACAAAGGUGAAGUCUGCAUAAAUUUGGUCAGAAUUUGCUUCACCAAUUGGAGCUACAAGUGGUGCUGCUGAAUAAAGGAAAUAAACUAUAGGUGCUUUCGUAUGCUUUGAGUCUGUAUUAGGUGGUAGUUUAAUUAGUGUAAAUGAGAAUGUUAGCAAGUGAAGUUGUGGCUUUGAAGAGAUAUUGGUAGUUUAUUUAGAAGGAGCUUUAUCUUUGCAUAAGGAUUGACUAUUGAAACCGAUUUUCAUAAUGAGUCUGAUGUGUGGAUAUAAAUAGUGGAUCAUAUAAGUAAAGAUUCAUUUUUUAAA